UCCGGCACUCAUAAGGCUGAGCUGUGAUGGGGAGAGGAAAUUGUUUCCUCGAGUCGUUGAUUUCACACUGCCGAGAAAAGCCUCUAGAUAGAUAACAGGUGCCCGUACCGCAAACCGACACAGGUAGUCAAGAUGAGAAUUCUAAGGUGAGCGAGCGAACUCUCGUUAAGGAACUCGGCAAAAUGACCCCGUAACUUCGGGAGAAGGGGUGCUCUUUAGGGUUCACGCCCAGAAGAGCCGCAGUGAAUAGGCCCAAGCGACUGUUUAUCAAAAACACAGGUCUCUGCUAAACCGUAAGGUGAUGUAUAGGGGCUGACGCCUGCCCGGUGCUGGAAGGUUAAGAGGAGUGGUUAGCUUCUGCGAAGCUACGAAUCGAAGCCCCAGUAAACGGCGGCCGUAACUAUAACGGUCCUAAGGUAGCGAAAUUCCUUGUCGGGUAAGUUCCGACCCGCACGAAAGGCGUAACGAUUUGGGCACUGUCUCAACGAGAGACUCGGUGAAAUCAUAGUACCUGUGAAGAUGCAGGUUACCCGCGACAGGACGGAAAGACCCCGUGGAGCUUUACUGUAGCCUGAUAUUGAAAUUCGGCACAGCUUGUACAGGAUAGGUAGGAGCCUUUGAAACGUGAGCGCUAGCUUACGUGGAGGCGUUGGUGGGAUACUACCCUAGCUGUGUUGGCUUUCUAACCCGCACCACUUAUCGUGGUGGGAGACAGUGUCAGGCGGGCAGUUUGACUGGGGCGGUCGCCUCCUAAAAGGUAACGGAGGCGCUCAAAGGUUCCCUCAGAAUGGUUGGAAAUCAUUCAUAGAGUGUAAAGGCAUAAGGGAGCUUGACUGCGAGACCUACAAGUCGAGCAGGGUCGAAAGACGGACUUAGUGAUCCGGUGGUUCCGCAUGGAAGGGCCAUCGCUCAACGGAUAAAAGCUACCCCGGGGAUAACAGGCUUAUCUCCCCCAAGAGUUCACAUCGACGGGGAGGUUUGGCACCUCGAUGUCGGCUCAUCGCAUCCUGGGGCUGUAGUCGGUCCCAAGGGUUGGGCUGUUCGCCCAUUAAAGCGGUACGCGAGCUGGGUUCAGAACGUCGUGAGACAGUUCGGUCCCUAUCCGUCGUGGGCGUAGGAAAUUUGAGAGGAGCUGUCCUUAGUACGAGAGGACCGGGAUGGACAUACCUCUGGUGUACCAGUUGUCGUGCCAACGGCAUAGCUGGGUAGCUAUGUAUGGACGGGAUAAGUGCUGAAAGCAUCUAAGCAUGAAGCCCCCCUCAAGAUGAGAUUUCCCAACUUCGGUUAUAAGAUCCCUCGAAGAUGACGAGGUUAAUAGGUUCGAGGUGGAAGCGUGGUGACACGUGGAGCUGACGAAUACUAAUCGAUCGAAGACUUAAUCAA
rnacentral:rRNA from 2 species